GAUGAAGAACGUAGCGAAAUGCGAUAAGUAAUGUGAAUUGCAGAAUUCAGUGAAUCAUCGAAUCUUUGAACGCACAUUGCGCCCGCCAGUAUUCUGGCGGGCAUGCCUGUUCGAGCGUCAUUUCAACCAUCAAGCCCCGGGCUUGUGUUGGGGACCUGCGGCUGCCGCAGGCCCUGAAAUGCAGUGGCGGGCUCGCUGUCACUCCGAGCGUAGUAGUUACAUCUCGCUCUGGGCGUGCUGCGGGUUCCGGCCGUUAAAAGCCUUAUUUACCCAAGGUUGACCUCGGAUCAGGUAGGAAGACCCGCUGAACUUAAGCAUAUCAAUAAGCAGAGGA
rnacentral:misc_RNA from 1 species